UACGGGGGGGGCAAGCGUUGUUCGGAAUUACUGGGCGUAAAGGGCGCGUAGGCGGCUCGCUAAGUCGGAUGUGAAAACUCUGGGCUCAACCCAGAGCCUGCAUUCGAAACUGACGAGCUCGAGUUCUGGAGGGGAAAGCGGAAUUCCUGGUGUAGCGGUGAAAUGACGCAGAUAUCAGGAGGAACACCGGUGGCGAAGGCGGAUCUCUGGGCCUUACCUGACGCUCAGGCGCGAAAGCUAGGGGAGCGAACUGG
rnacentral:rRNA from 1 species